rnacentral:rRNA from 1 species
AAUUUAUAACUUGUUAAAACGGUUUUUGUUCAUAUAAAAUGUUAAGAAAAAUAAUUUUAAAAUGUUAGGGAAAGUAAUUUUUAUAAAAAAUAAAGUUUAACUAUAGAGUACAAGUACUGGAAAGGAAAGUUAAAAACUGAAUAUUUGAAUAUAGUAAAUUUAAAUAUUUGUAUUUUGUGUAUCAAAGAAAGUUUAUAUAAUUUAAUUAUGUUAGGUUUCUCGAAAUAAAUGUAGCUAACUAAAGAUAUAAAUUUUCGUGGAAAAUAGAUUUGUAAUUUUUAGUUAAUGAUGAAAUGUCAAUCGAAAUUUAUUAUAUCUAGUUCUUUCUUAGUGAAUUUAAUUCUGCUUUUGUAAUCAGAAAGUGUAAAAAGUAAAUGUAGGAGGGAUUAGCUUCUUAUAAAUUGAGUUAGUAAAUAGUUAAUGUUAAAAAGUAUUUUAAGUUAGGCUUAAAAGUGGCUAUUUUAGUAAAGUGUUUUAACUAAGAUCAUUUAAAUGAUAAAAAUUUAUGUAAACUUUUAUUUUUAGGAGAGAAUAAUUUAAAAUAAUGUAUGUUUAGAUAUAAUGAUUUUAUUAGUAAAAAAUAAUGUUAAAAAAAAUAUUGUAAUAAAAAUCGAUUUUUAUUGAAGUGAGGUAAAUACAAAGGAACUCGGCAAAUAAUUUCUUUGCCUGUUUAUCAAAAACAUGUCUGUUUGUAGAUAUAAAAAGUCUGGCCUGCCCACUGAUAGUUUUUAAAGGGCCGCGGUAAUCUGACCGUGCAAAGGUAGCAUAAUCGUUAGUUUUUUAAUUGAAAUCUUGUAUGAAUGGUUGAACAAAAGAAUAACUGUCUCUGUAUUUUUAUUUGAAUUUAACUUUUAAGUGAAAAGGCUUAAAUAUUUUAAAAAGACGAUAAGACCCUGUAAAGCUUAAUAUACCUAAGUGUUAGAUUAAGUUAAUAUAUAAAAAUUUAAGAUGAAAGGCUUAUUUUGUUGGGGCGACAAUGAUAAAAUGUUUGUUAACUGUUUAUGUUAAAAGACAAAAAUAAAUGAUUAAAAAAUAAAUGAUCCUUAAAUAAAGAUUAAGAGUUUAAGUUACUUCAGGGAUAACAGCGUUAUUUUUCUUGAGAGUUCAUAUCGAAAGAAAAGUUUGCGACCUCGAUGUUGAAUUAAAAUUUCUAUAUAAUUGCAGCAGUUAUAAUAGAGGGUCUGUUCGACCUUUAAAUUUUUACAUGAUUUGAGUUCAGACCGGCGUAAGCCAGGUCGGUUUCUAUCUUUUAAUAAUAAAAAGUUAUUUUAGUACGAAAGGAUUAAAUAAUUAAAAUUAUUUUAUUAAUUGGAAGACUAUUUUGGCAGAUGAUAUGCGUUGGAUUUAGGAUCCUAUAAGAUAG